CCAGAUAGCUCAGUUAGUAGAGCACCUGACUAGAGAAAAUUCAGGGGGCCCGGGUUCAAAUCCCAGUCUGG
rnacentral:tRNA from 1 species